ensembl:lncRNA
CGUCUGGGCUGUGUGGUCCCAAAGCCCACUUUGGACUUCCCCUUUCACCUGUAAAUUGGAGAUAAACCUGCUCACCUGGCUGGGCCGAUGGGAGGACUCCAUGCAAUGUCUGUGUUGAGGCCUGGUCCACAGAGGCCUCCGUAAACCGACACUCCUGGAUCCCAUGACAGUGAGGCGGAGGGCAGAUGGUGAGAAUGGGCUCCUGGUGCUCGUGCCAUAGAAGGGAGCUUCCUGCAUCAUCUGAGGCUGUUUUCGGGGAACCCAGUCCUCUCUUCUGUGCUGCAAGAGGCCAGCUGCACGCUGGGGCAGGUGGGUGGGGCGGGGGGGGGGGCUGGCUCGUCACUGAGGCACCACAAGGGAGGAAGACAGGCUUCCCUGACCUUGACUCAGACCUGCCAAGCAAGCCAGCCUCCUAAGAGGGAUCGCAUGGAUCGGUCGCUCGAUUGUGUCCACGUGGCCAGGCGCGCAGGACGAACAGCACGGGAGAUGCCGAAAGGAAGGAUGUGUGCUGGGACCCAGGCUGCCUUCAUGAAGAACCAGCUGGGAGAUGCCGAAAGGAAGGAUGUGUGCUGGGACCCAGGCUGCCUUCACGAAGAAUCAGCUGCAGGUGCUCCAUGCCUUUUGCCUCUUGAUCCACACAUGGUGUGGCCACAUUCCACUGAGAUCCUACAGGGUCCUGGAGAUUCCCGGGGCUGAAGCAGACCCCUCUCAGCGUGGGUGCCCCAGAAGGACCUGAUGGAGACCUGCUGUCUGAUGGAGCGUGGGGGAAACGGCUUCAAUCCCUGGCCUGGGAACCAAGACGCCACCUGCCGCAGGGGAGCUAAGCCUGUGGGCCGUAACUACCCACGCUCUAGGGCUAGAGCUCCGCGACAAGGGAAGCCAAGGCAGGGAGAAGCCCGAGGACCACAGCGGAGAGAAGCCUCCACUCCCCGCAACCGGAGAAAGGCUCUGCACAGCAACGGAGAGCCGUGUGCCGCCCCCAAGACCCAGCGCAGCCAAAAAUAAAUAAAUACACACUUUAAACA